AGUGAACGCUGGCGGUAGGCCUAACACAUGCAAGUCGAACGGCAGCACAGUUAGAGCUUGCUCUUACGGGUGGCGAGUGGCGGACGGGUGAGGAAUACAUCGGAAUCUACUUUUUCGUGGGGGAUAACGUAUGGAAACUUACGCUACUACCGCCUACUACCUACUGGUGACAGCAGGGGAUCUUCGGACCUUGCGCGAUUGUAUGAGCCGAUGUCGGAUUAGCUAGUUGGCGGGGUAAAGGCCCACCACGGCGACGAUCCGUAGCUGGUCUGAGAGGAUGAUCAGCCAAACGGGAAAUGAGAAAAGGUCCAGACUCCUACGGGAGGAAGCAGUGGGGAAUAUUGGACAAUGGGCGCAAGCCUGAUCCAGCCAUACCGCGUGGGUGAAGAAGGCCUUCGGGUUGUAAAGCCCUUUUGUUGGGAAAGAAAAGCAGCAGGUUAAUACCCCGCUGUUCUGACGGUACCCAAAGAAUAAGCACCGGCUAACUUCGUG
rnacentral:rRNA from 1 species